UUUUAUGCGAUGAUAAAGAGGAGUAAACAUAAACAUUACUUUAAAGAGAGUCUGUGGCGCUGAAAACAGGCAAAUCAUUAUGUUGAAUGGACUUUUGAGCACCUUAGAUGAAAUUAGUAGUUUAAGGCGUCUAAUCAGCGAUAUUUGAUGCCUUCACUGGCACGAGUGGUUAUCUUUUUGAUGACACUUAGGGUGGUACCGCGGAUACAACACAUUUUCGUCCCUUUU
rnacentral:ncRNA from 1 species